ACUCAUUCCUAAACCUUCCAUCCCUUCCAAACCUUCCUUUGGGCUCAUUUUAUCCUAAACCCAGUGGCCAGUUCAGUUGAAGCUCGACCGGAAUUGGGAAACGUAAAUUCGUUAUGAAUUUGCUCACUAUCAACUGUCGAUGCAAAUCAACGAACACCGCUUCCACCUUCAAUCCGUUCACAUGGCGGAAUUCUACUUUCAUGGGUAGGAAGGAUAUUGGCCUCUGCAAUGUACAAAGGGUUCUCCCCAGAGGAUUAUGCAGUAGGUCAAAUGUAAAGCCAAAAGUUUAUGCAAAGCGGAAAUCCGCGAGGAAAUUGGAAAGAACGAAUGAGGAAGGUUAUAUAACGUCCUCUUCUGCUGAUGAUAAUGCUCAAGAUGUACAGAUGAACCCUUCUGAUAGUUCACCUAAGAACCGGAUGAUUAAUAUCUCCUCAAGGAGUUCUGUGCUUCGGGCUUGCAUAAUUACUUCUGGUUUGAUUGCUGCUUUGGGUGUAAUAAUUCGACAGGUAUCUCAUGGUGCAUCGAUAGAGGGAUUGCCAGUGAUUGACUGCACCUCGGAAGUAUCAUUUAGUUUCGAGAUGAGGCAACUUCAGUUGAUUAUAGGACUGGUUGUUCUAAUAUCUUCAUCCCGAUUUUUACUGUUGAAAGCAUGGCCAGACUUUGCCGAGUCUAGUGAAGCAGCCAAUCGACAGGUGCUCACUUCUCUUCAACCUUUAGAUUAUGUAGUAGUUGCCUUUUUGCCCGGGAUUAGCGAGGAAUUGCUUUUUCGUGGUGCAUUGAUGCCGCUUUUGGGAUUCAACUGGGCAAGUGUGGUGGUGACAGCCGCCAUUUUUGGUGUUCUACACUUGGGUGGCGGCCGGAAAUAUUCAUUUGCAAUAUGGGCAACUUUUGUUGGACUUGCAUAUGGUUAUGCGUCUAUAGAAUCCUCCAGUAUCGUUGUGCCGAUGGCUUCUCAUGCAUUGAAUAAUCUGGUUGGAGGAAUUCUGUGGCGCUACGAAUCAAGUUCUUUGGAGAAUCGUGAGCAAUAAAACUGAUUUAGGCGAAGUGAAAGCUGAUUGGUUUAUGCUCAGGCCUCAAGUGUAUAUUUAUCCUUAGGGGAGAAUCGAAUAUCUUACCAAGCGGUAACAAGUCAAGCAUUAAUGGUUUUUUUUCCCUAAGACAAGUGAUGGGAGUCGACUUAGGGAUGUGGUCGAACCUUCAACCUCUAAGAGGAAUAUGAUGUCAAUUAUCAUUAAGUUGAGCUCAUUUUGACACUUUUUCCUUAGGUAGGUUUAAAUUUUCAACAUGUUAAAAAAUUUAGAAGUAAUUGAUGCAUUGAAAUAUCUAUACCAUAGUUCAUAUAUCCCUGUUUCUAGGGUAGCCAAACAUUUAUUCCCCACCAAAAUGUCGGUCGCUUGGUUUUUGGUGUCCAUGCAACUAAUACAACGACACUAACAUUCUUAAAAUUCAUAUUGGAUUAUAAAUAUUAUGGUAAUAGAUGUUGACUAGAUGCUCAUGUUUAGUAUCCAUUGACCAUGUGUCAUGUCUCUACUUUUCAAAGUGUUGUCUAUGUGUCUUAACAUUACACAUUAUUAGUGUCUAUGUAUACCUAUAAAUAGUGGUAUUUUGUGGGUUUUAGAAGACACAUUGGACAAAUUCCAUGAAAAUUAGAGAAAGUAGAGAUUUUAGAGA